rnacentral:rRNA from 1 species
UACGUAGGGCGCAAGCGUUAUCCGGAAUUAUUGGGCGUAAAGAGCUCGUAGGCGGUUUGUCGCGUCUGCCGUGAAAGUCCGGGGCUCAACUCCCGGAUCUGCGGUGGGUACGGGCAGACUAGAGUGAUGUAGGGGAGACGUGGAAUUCCUGGUGUAGGCAGGUGAAAUGCGCAGGAUAUCAGGAGGAACACCGAUGGCGAAGGCAGGUCUCUGGGCAUUAACUGACGCUGAGGAGCGAAAGCAUGGGGAGCGAACAGG